rnacentral:lncRNA from 1 species
AGGUUCUAAAUUGUGUUAGGAUUAGAUUGAAUUAGAUUAAGAUUUGAUUUAGGAUUAAGGAUUUUUCUAGGAUUUGGUUUAGGAUUUAGGAUUUUUUUAGGAUUUGAUUUAGGAUUUAAAAUUUAUCUAGGAUUUGAUUUAGGAUUUAGGAUUUGUUUAGAGUUUGAUUUAGGAUUUAGUUUAGGAUUUAGGAUUUGAUCUAGGGUUCGGUUUAGGAUUUAGGAUUCUUUUAGGAUUUGCUUUAGGAUUUGGUUUAGGAUUUGAUUUAGGAUUUAGAGUUAAAGGUUUGUCUAGGAUUUGAUUUAGAGUUUGAUUUAGGAUUUAGAAUUUAUCUAUGGUUUGAUUUAAGAUUUGAUUUAGAAAUUA